rnacentral:rRNA from 1 species
AUGCACGCUGGCGGCGUGCCUCAUACAUGCAAGUCGCGCGAACAGACGAGGAGCUUGCUCCUCUGACGUUAGCGGCGGACGGGUGAGUAACACGUGGAUAACCUACCUAUAAGACUGGGGUAACUUCGGGAAACCGGAGCUAAUACCGGAUAAUAUAUUGAACCGCAUGGUUCAAUAGUGAAAGACGGUUUUGCUGUCACUUAUAGAUGGAUCCGCGCCGCAUUAGCUAGUUGGUAAGGUAACGGCUUACCAAGGCAACGAUGCGUAGCCGACCUGAGAGGGUGAUCGGCCACACUGGAACUGAGACACGGUCCAGACUCCUACGGGAGGCAGCAGUAGGGAAUCUUCCGCAAUGGGCGAAAGCCUGACGGAGCAACGCCGCGUGAGUGAUGAAGGUCUUCGGAUCGUAAAACUCUGUUAUUAGGGAAGAACAAAUGUGUAAGUAACUAUGCACGUCUUGACGGUACCUAAUCAGAAAGCCACGGCUAACUACGUG